rnacentral:rRNA from 1 species
UUGAUCAUGGCUCAGGACGAACGCUGGCGGCGUGCUUAACACAUGCAAGUCGAACGAUGAAGCUGGAGCUUGCUCCGGUGGAUUAGUGGCGAACGGGUGAGUAACACGUGAGAAAUCUGCCCUUGACUCUGGGAUAACUGCGGGAAACUGUAGCUAAUACCGGAUACUUUCCUUGGUGGGCAUCCACUGGGGAAGAAAGAAUUUCGGUCAAGGAUGAUCUCGCGGCCUAUCAGCUAGUUGGUGAGGUAAAGGCUCACCAAGGCGACGACGGGUAGCCGGCCUGAGAGGGUGACCGGCCACACUGGGACUGAGACACGGCCCAGACUUCUACUGGAGGCAGCAGUGGGGAAUAUUGCACAAUGGGCGCAAGCCUGAUGCAGCAACGCCGCGUGAGGGAUGAAGGCCUUCGGGUUGUAAACCUCUUUUACAGGGAAGAAGCGAAAGUGACGGUAUCUGCAGAAAAAGCAUCGGCUAACUACGUGCCAGCAGCCGCGGUAAUACGUAGGGGUGCAAGCGUUGUCCGGAAUUAUUGGGCGUAAAGAGCUCGUAGGCGGGUUUGUCACGUCUGCUGUGAAAUUUCGAGGCUCAACCUCGAACUUGCAGUGGGUACGGGCAGGCUAGAGUGCGGGUAGGGGAGAUGGGAAUUCCUGGUGUAGCGGGUGGGAAUGCGCAGAUAUCAGGAGGAACACCAAUGGCGAAGGCACAUCUCUGGGCCGUAACUGACGCUGAGGAGCGAAAAGCGUGGGGGAGCGAACAGGAUUAGAUACCCUGGUAGUUCCACGCCGUAAACGGUGGGGUGCUAGCUGUGGGCCACAUUUCCACGGUGGUCCGUGACGAAGUUAACACAUUAAGCACCCCGCCUGGGGAGUACGGCCGCAAGGCUAAAACUCAAAGGGAAUUGACGGGGGGGCCCGCACAAGCGGCGGAGCAUGCGGAUUAAUUCGAUGCAACGCGAAGAACCUUACCAAGGCUUGACAUAUAGAGGAAAAGUGCAGAAAUGUACUCCCCGCAAGGUCUCUAUACAGGUGGUGCAUGGUUGUCGUCAGCUCGUGUCGUGAGAUGUUGGGUUAAGUCCCGCAACGAGCGCAACCCUCGUCCUAUGUUGCCAGCACGUAAUGGUGGGAACUCAUGGGAUACUGCCGGGGUCAACUCGGAGGAAGGUGGGGAUGACGUCAAAUCAUCAUGCCCCUUAUGUCUUGGGCUUCACGCAUGCUACAAUGGCCGGUACAGAGGGCUGCAAUACCGUAAGGUGGAGCGAAUCCCAAAAAGCCGGUCUCAGUUCGGAUUGAGGUCUGCAACUCGACCUCAUGAAGUCGGAGUCGCUAGUAAUCGUAGAUCAGCAACGCUACGGUGAAUACGUUCCCGGGCCUUGUACACACCGCCCGUCAAGUCACGAAAGUCGGUAACACCCGAAGCCGGUGGCCUAACCGUAAGGAGGGAGCCGUCGAAGGUGGGAUUGGUGAUUGGGACUAAGUCGUAACAAGGUAACCGUA